rnacentral:rRNA from 1 species
CCUACGGGAGGCAGCAGUGGGGAAUAUUGCACAAUGGGGGAAACCCUGAUGCAGCGACGCCGCGUGAGUGAAGAAGUAAUUCGUUAUGUAAAGCUCUAUCAGCAGGGAAGAAAAUGACGGUACCUGAGUAAGAAGCCCCGGCUAACUACGUGCCAGCAGCCGCGGUCAUACGUAGGGGGCAAGCGUUAUCCGGAUUUACUGGGGGUAAAGGGAGCGUAGACGGCAGUGCAAGUCUGGAGUGAAAGGCGGGGGCUCAACCCCCGGACUGCUCUGGAAACUGUACGGCUGGAGUGCAGGAGAGGUAAGUGGAAUUCCUGGUGUAGCGGUGAAAUGCGUAGAUAUUAGGAGGAACACCAGUGGCGAAGGCGGCUUACUGGACUGUAACUGACGUUGAGGCUCGAAAGCGUGGGGAGCAAACAGGAUUAGAUACCCCAGUAGUC